GUCGGGAUAGUCUAGCUGGUAGAGCAGAGGACUGA
rnacentral:tRNA from 1 species